GGACGAGGAAAUGCAAUCGUCUCCAGAUGAAAGACAACAGCGAAGUAGAUCCUCUGUGAAGGAGGAGGCCUGUCUGAUGGAGCCGUUCAUCCAUCGGUGGUCAUUUACCAUCAGAUCCAGUAGAUCCAGAGAUGUGGGUGUAGAUGACAUCAG